CACGCACGCACGCACGCACUGCUUCUCUCGCGCCGCCGCUGCCGCUCCCGCGUACACCGGCCUCGCCGUCCGCUAAGUCGGGAUGCUGCGGGCCUGUCAGCUGUCUGGCGUGAGCGCCGCCGCCCAGGUGAGCGCGGGCUCCCCGAGCGCGCGUAGGAAGUGAUUCCGGGCGGCAGCGGAGAGCGGGCCGGGCGCCGCCGGGUCGGGCAGGGGCGUGCGCGGGACCACAGGACGCCGGGACUGUCGCCGCUGCGGGGCGGGGACGGGGACGGCGAGGGCCAGCCCCCAGGCCCGGCGCCGGUUCAGCGCGGCGGGUCCAGAUGUGAAGGUCAGGUGGAGGACUACAGCUCCCGGCUGGCCGCGCGGCGGCCGGCCGCAUCACUAACGCAGAGGGGUCUGCGCUCCCCGGAGCCCGCGGCUCGAGGGUCCCGGCUGUAACCGGCCGGAGGGACUCGGGAUGGCUAGGAACACCUGGGGCUGCUCUUACUCUGCAGAGCCCCUUGUCGUGGAUGGAGCUGAAACCCCUGGUACUCGAUUGAGGAAGGACAGAGUCAUGACCUUGUGCUCAUUUUGAGAUGAGCCUGGGGUUCUGCGUCUCCAGGCGCUGGGACGACUGUGGCUGGCACUCAGUUUUGUUCUUUCUUUUCUUUUUAGUUUUUCAUAACUUAUCAAAGUAACUUCUUAAAAUUGAAAGUAAGAGACCUAUUUCCAUUGCUCACGGUUUGCAGAACAUCGUUAUUAUUUUGGCAGAAUGUUGUAUUGAAGAAAUGGAUAUUGUGACUCCUGUACUAAUCAAAUAAAAUCCCUAGCCUUAGUGAGUUAGAAAUCAUAAAAUUCAAGCCUUGUUUUUCUCUUCUAGUUAGCUUCUCUCCCUAUUCAUUGCUGGGGUAAAAUAAAAGAAGCAGCCUCUUCCACAGGGAAGUGGGGCCUUAUUAAUUUUCUAUUGCUACAAGUACCACAAAUUUAGCUCCUUAAAACAACACCCAUUGGUUGCCUGACAGUUUUUAGCCUGGAAGUCUUUUGUGAAUGAUUUGAAUUUUCAGAAUUACACAGGCUGCAAUCAGAAUUAUGGCCAUGCUGUGGUUCUUAUUUGGAGAUUAUUUUCCAAGCUUAUGCAGGUUGUUGGCAAAAUUAAGUCCCUUGCAGUUAUGGAAGUAAAGAAGAAAACAACACCAUUUUCUUGUUAACUCUUGUCAGACACUGCCCUCGGCUUAUAGAGGCUGCCAUCAAUUUCUUGCCAUAAGGCCUCCAUAGGCCAUUCAGUAAUAUGCAUAUUUGCUUUUUUGCAGGCUACCAGGAGCUUGUCUCUCAGACUUCAAAGUCUCCUAUUUCCCUGCCUUUGCUCUUUAGACCUCGUUUAAAAGGCUUAUAUGAUUAGGCUGGGCCCACCUCAAUAACUUUCCUUGCCAGUCAAUUCAAAGUCAACUUUUUAAAAAAAGUCACAGUAAAAUAUACAUACUUCCUAGGUCUCAACAAAGAUUUCUAACCGUCUUGAAAUCGCUAUCUUAUAAAAUUCUUUGGUUUAUUCUUUCCAGCUCCUCAAUCAUUUUAUAGAUUUGAUAGUAUAGCUUUGUGUAACUCUGCACCUUUGGCUUCUCUCAAGUACUCUCUUGGGUUCCAUCUUACCCUUUGUAUCUUCUUCUUCUUUUUUUUUUUUAACUGAGUCAACUUCUUGUUUGAACUUUUAUUUUUUAAAUAUUUUUUUUAAGUUGUGAGUGGUCCUUUAUUUUAUCUAUUUAUUUAUAUGUGGUGUUGAAAAUCAAAUCCAGUGGCUCCUCAUACAUGUAAGUGCUCUACCAUUGAUCCACAUCCUCAGCUUCGUUUUUGAACCUUUAAAAUACACUCUUUCUUCUCUAGUUAUAUACUCUUUUUUUUUUUUUUUUAAGAGAGAGGGGGAGAGAGAGAGAAUUUUUUAAUAUUCAUUCUUUAGUACUUGGCGGACACAACAUCUUUGUUUGUAUAUGGUGCUGAGGAUCGAACCCGGGCUGCACACAUGCCAGGCGAGCGCGCUACCGCUUGAGCCACAUCCCCAGCCCUAGUUAUAUACUCUUAUUAGGGAUGACAUUAACUCUCAGAACUUUAAUCCCUAAGCAGAUGACUCUUCAGACUCUUCUUUGUAGCUUUGUAUUCAACUUUUUGAAUUUUCAUUGAAGUUUAUCAGUUUAUACAUACUAUUCCACUUCAUCAAACCCCAUCUUAAAUGUCUUUCUGAUUUUACUUUUACUGAUCCCUUCUAGAUCAGUUCUUCUUUUUUAAAUGAGGCAACUUUUUUUUAAUAGCUUUAUUAUAUUCAUUAAUUUUUUAUGUAGUGCUGAGGAUUGAACCCAGGGCCUCACACAUUCUAGGCAAGUGCUUUACCACUGAGCCACAACCCCAGCCCAUGAUAAUUCUUUUUAAUGUGGAGUGCUUUACCACUGAGCUACCUCCCCCUGUUCUCUUCUGUUUUUAUUUACAGACAGGGUCUUGCUUAGUUGCCCAGGGUGGCCUUGAACGUGUCAUCCUCCUGCCUUAGCCUCCUGAGUCUGGGAUAAUAGGCCUGUGCCACCAUGCCAACUAGAGUCAGUCCUUAAUAUAGUGGUUGUAAGAGCUUUAGCAAACAUGCCAUAGCCAGGUGUGCUGGCAGAGGGCCUGUAAUUCCAGCUACUGAGGAGACUGAGGUAGGAAUGUUGCAAGUUCUAAGCUAGUCUGGACAACUUAAUGAGACCCUGUCUCCAAAUAAAAAUUUGAAGAAAAAAAAAAAGGACAGGCGAUUUACCUCAGUUGAUAGCACCCUGGAUUCAAUCCCCACUUCCACAAAUGAACAACAGAAAAAUUCCUGUCAUGCUCUUCAGUGACAUCCCAUCACACUUGGAAUGAAAUCUAGUCUCUACUUCUCCUGCCAGGCCCUUCAUGGCCUGGCUUUUUUUCAUAUCCCAUUUUUUAUACUCUGCCUCACUCUGUGGUGUCUCCAGCACAUGCCUCUCUUCAUGGGUGUUUCUCUGCCCCCAAACUUACCAUGCAUCUUUGUGUAGCUCACUCCCAUUGUGCAGGUAUUUUCUCAAAUAUAAGCUUCUCUUCAGAGAAGUCUUCCUUAUAAGGUAAACUUAAGUGCUGAGCGUGGUGGCAUGGUCCUAAAAUCCCGGCCUCUCAGGAGACUGAGGAGGAGGAGCCAGCUUGGACAUCUUAGCAAGACUUUGUCUUAAAAUAAAAAAGGGCUUGGGCUGUAUCAGUGGUAGAGUGUCCCUGGGUUCAAUCUCUAGUACUGCAAAAAAAUAAAAUAAAAAUUAAAAAUUAACAAAGAAAAUAGACUGAUGACCGCUCUUUUUCCUUGCACCACUGUUUUUACCCUCACCCUACUUUGUUUUACUUUGUAGCUCUUAGCACUACCUGACAUCAUAAUGUGUAUUUGUGUGAUUGCUACAUGUAACAUGCAAGUUCCACAAAGGGACCGUGUCCAUAUGGUUCGCUGCCAUUUUUUCCAGUACUUACAAUAGUCUCUGGCUCCUACUAGAUUCUUAAUNCUCCCCUCCCCUCCCCUCUUCUCUCUCUGCCCCCUCUACUGACAUUCGUUUGUCCCCCUUAUAUUAUUUUUCCCCUUCCCCUCACUUCCUCUUGUAUGUACUUUUGUAUAACUCUGAGGGUCUCCUUCCAUUUCCAUGCAUUUUCCCUUCUCUCUCCCUUUCCCUCCCACCUCUCAUCCCUGUUUAGUGUUAAUCUUCUUCUCAUGCUCUUCGACCCUACUCUAUUCUUAGUUACUCUCCUUAUAUCAAAGUUGUUCUCUUUCUUUUCCAGAAAUGAGCUUUAGAACCUUGAUCCUUCCUGAGUUUACUUCUCAGUUCUAGCGCUUUCUUUUUACUCUCAGUUGCAGUAUUGCUUCCUUCACAUGCACUGGUCUCUUCUGCGCGUACCUAAAAGAAGAGGGAGAAACGCUGUUGUCCUUCAGGGUCAACUAAGCCCGCCUGUUUAACUGAGACCAGGUUCCCAAGUCUAGGAUUAAAAUUGCCUGUAGUAGAAGUAGGCUGCCGACCACAUGUGCUAGAAAAGGUUUUGCAGAUGGUGCAGCCUGUUUGCCCAUACUGAUACUGGAAUCCUUUAAACCACUCCUCAUUUUCAUAUUCCUAGACUAAUGGCUUUCAAACCAUUUUGAAAUACAACUUAUAUAAUUUAGUACACCUGAGUGAGAUUAUAUAAAAUAUUCAUGUUAUGCACAGUGACCAAAGAAGUGUCACAUUUAUUUUUGUUUUUUCAAAACGAUCUAAACAAUUUAAAAUUAACUAAUAAAUCACAAUUUAGUUUUGCUUUUUAGGAUUGUUUUGUAAAAUGAUACAUUUCAGAAUUAACCAAAGUAUAUUUCUGUUUCAGGUUAGUUUACCCACGUAAGUAAACCACAGUGCAUCUCCCUUAGUCUAGGAUGCACAUUCGCUCUUCUGCAGUGCUGUUUAGUCUGCCAUUGCCAUAACUGAAGAGUAGUUUCCUCUUAGACAUAGAGUAUGUUUAUAUUAAGAGAUAAUGUUGCUUCAGUUUCAAUCUCAGUGAAUUUUUAAUGGAUGUACUUUUUAGCCUUAAUGCAUGAUUCUUUUUUUUUUUAAAUAUUUUUAUUUUUUAGUUUUCGGUGGACACAACAUCUUUAUUUUUUGUGUGGUGCUGAGGAUCGAACCCAGCACCCCUCGCAUGCCAGGCAAGCGCGCUACCGCUUGAGCCGCAUCCCCAGUCUAAUGCCUGAUUCUUAUAAAAUGUUUUAAGUUAACCAUAGUAAAAGUUACAUUAUGUGUUAAUCUGUAUACCAAGUGUGCAAGGGGCCACUAACUUCUGGAUGCCUUUGGUUUUGGUGGAAGGAAUCCUUAUGACAAGACACACCAAACAGUCAAUUAUGGCAACCAGCAGAGUCAGUGGAGGAAACCUGGAACCUGCAGGUAGGGUUCCUCUGAAGUCUGUUGUUACAGGUUUCACAUCGAGGUUGUGAUGUUGCAUAUGUUCAAGGUUGUGGUUUCACAUCGAGGUUGUGAUGUUGAUGUACAAGGUUGUGGUUUCUUACAUAUGUUCACUUCAAUUUGGUAGAACUAAGGGAAUAGAGGAUCCUGCAAGAACAUUACUAGAGGAUUGGAUGUUUUCUCUUCCUUUUUGGUUUGUUUUUUGUUAAAAUCAUGUUUCUGCAGGUUAGGAACAGCAGUGAUAACUUUAUAACUCUUAUUACAAAGUUAUAUGUUCAGGCAUAUUUCUUUGAAACAGUAUUCUUCUUUUUACAUCCUAGAUCAUUAUUAAUAAAAAGGAAUUCAGGAACUAAAAAGUAGCCAAUAUUUACAAAUAAAGAGAUACUGUAACAGUACUUAAGAGAGUACUCUGGAAGCCAACCUUGUAUUUGGCAAGGACUUCUUAGAUAUGACACCAAAAGCACAAGCAAUAAAAGAAAAUAGAAGAUAAAUUUUGUUUCAUCAAAAUUUCAAAUUUUGUGCACCAAGGGACACUCAAGAGUAAAAAGAAUGAGAAAAAAAUAUUUUCAAUUAGAGUCUAGUGUUCAGAAUAGUCAAAGAACUCCUAUAACUUAACCUUAGAAAGACAACCGAAAUAAAAAGUAGGUAAAGGCUGGGUGCAGUUGUGCAUGCUUGUAAUCCCAGCAACUCAGGAGGCUGAGGCAGGAGUAGUGUAAAUUUAAGGCCAGCUUUAGCAACUUAGUAAGUCCCUGAGUCAAAAUAAAAAUUAAAAAGGGCUGGGGAAUAUAGCUCAGUGGUAAAGUGCCCCUGGGCUCAGUCCUCAGUAUCAAGGGAAAAAAAAAUAUUAUGAUAAAGUGAUUUCUAUUCUUUUUUAUUUUUUUCAAAUAGAAGUGAAACUCCUUUUGUCACCAUUUUGGGUUUCUUUUGGCCAGAAAAGAUAAUUUUUUCACAUUUUAUUUUUUUUUAAAUCAGGGUUCAUUUUAUAAUUUAUGGUGUGUCAUUUAAUAGAAAUCAUUUUUUCUUUCAUGGUGGUACAUAAAAUAAAUUUCUUAUCAAUGUUUUAUGAAAAAAGUUAAAAUUUAAGGUAACCUUUAAAAAAGCAACAGUAUCCACAAAUAUUCCAAAAAAAUAGUGUGAGAGGACUAACCUUACCAGAUUAUAAACUUAAUUCUAAGAUUUACUUGUUAAAAGUUUGCUUUUAGUUAUGAAUAGGUAGAUCAGUGGGACAGAAUAGGAAGUCAAGGUUGUAGAAGAAUUUAGGUGGACACCAGCCUGAACUGGGCACUGGGGGCCACCAUCAUGGGACAUGGAAGAGCUCAAAGGCAGUGCUAGGCCUCCUGGUGCUGCUGACCCCAGCCAUGGUGACUGCCAUGCAGGGCCAGCAGAGGCUUCAGGGCAGACUGACAAGAGGCAAGAUCUCAAAGAGAGGCCAUUCCCCUUUGGAGAAACAGAUUAUUUUGACUGAGCAACUUGAAGUAGAAAGACGAUGUUAUUGUUAAAGGGAUCUCAGAAAAUGUGACUUGAAAUGAAGUGACCUGUGGAUGGAACAGCAGCAGCAUAGGGAAGGGGUGGUCUGGUAAAUAGCUUAUUGAGUCCAGCUUUUUUUUAUUUUUUGGGGGGGGUGGUCAUUGCCCUGUUAAACUUGUUCAAAUAAAGAACAGUGGAUUGUAUAUUCUAAAUUACCAAUGUAAAAAUCCCAUGUCUGGACACUUUUCCAAUGGCUACCUAACCUUGCUGUACGUAGUUAGAGACACUAGUUCUAGGACCUGGUCCUUUUCUCUUUCUGGCUAGCAUCUGGAAUUGCCCAACAAUUCUUUUUAUUUCAUAGAGAGAGGAAAAAAAUCCCUGUCUCAGUUACUUCUGUAGGCAAAUGUUCUGAAGAGUUUCUGUCCUCUCUGAGUGGUCCUGGUAGAAGCCCCGUUAAGGUCGGUGUCCAGAGCUUAGGAUUAUUACUGAAAAGCACUUUUUUUGUGUGUUAUGCAGUUUGUGUAAAUUGUCACAUACAAUACUUUUGUGUGAGUGGGGGGGGGGGCUGGGGAUUGAACCCAGGGCCUUGCACCUACUAGGCAAGUGCUUUGCCACUGAGCCCCAUCCCAGCCCUCUUAUAUAAAGUACUUUAAGAUGCGGAGUGCAAGCCGAGGGAGAAUGUGGCAUGAGGGAAUAUCCCCUGAAUAUUCAGGAUGUUGGUUCCGAUUGAUGACUUUGCCUUGAAAAGUACUUCUGACCCUGGGGGAAGGAGGAGGUUGAAUAGUAAUGUCUACUCUAGCAGAAGGUUGAUUCACAUCAGUGAAUCCACUAGAACACCUAUCUUGGAGGAGUGGGCGGAGGGUAGAGGGACCUGAAUGUGGAACUAGAGGACUGGGCCUUGGUGGACCUAUGACCAGAGCAGGGGCUUCUACAGUGGUGAGGAAGGAGCUGUGUUGUGAGUGGAGGAGCAUCUGUCCUUCUGUGACAAGUACCAGAAAUAGGUAGUAGCCAAUAGGAGCACCUUAGUUUCUUUGGCUCAUGAGUUCCUAUGUUAGGGUUUCUUUUUUCAAUCUCUGAAAGAAAGCAGGGAUGUAAGAUAGACCUAAAUAAAAAGAUAACUAUUAUAUUUAUUGACUUUAUAUGUUGUGUACAUAUUAUAUUUGCCAACUACAAAUUUAUACAACACAUUUGUACUAGUAAAAAUUGUUGUCAACCUCUAUCACAUUGUUUAAAAUUCUUACAUAAUUUUUUUUAAAAAUGAGAUCUGAUUGCAUUGCCCAGGCUGAACUCAAAACUUCUGGGCUCAAGUGAUCCUCCCAGUCAGCCUCUUGAGUAGCUGGGACUAUAGUUACAUUCCACCCAGUUUAAUUUAAAUUUUGUUGUUGUUGUUUUUGGUGUGGGGAUUGAACCCAGGGGCACUUAACCACUGAACUGCAUCUUUUUUUUUUUUUUUUCCCCAGUUGUGGAUGGAUAUAAUAACUUUAUCUUAUAUAUUUAUUUUUAUGUGUUUCUGAGAAUCAAACCCAGGGCCUCGCACGUGCUCUACCACUGAGCUACAACCCCAGCCCUGAAUGUAUCCUUUUUAUAUUUUAUUCCGAGACAGGAUCUCACUGAGUUGCUUAGGGCCCCACUAAGUUGCUGAGCUUGGCUUUGGACGCGCCAUCCUCCUACCUCAGCCUCCCAAGCUGCUGGGAUUUAUAGGCAGGCACCACUGUGCCUGGCUAAUUUUAAAUUCUUGAUGGUAACCCAAUAAAAAUUACAGAGAGAGAGAAGAGUGUGUGUGUGUGUGUGUGUGUACGUGUACAUACAUAUAUAUAUAUACACACAUGUAUAUACGCACACAUAAUGUGUUUUUAGCAUUGUAUUUUUCUUGAUGUAGAAUUAACGGUAGAAUGCAGAAAUCUUAAAUGUUCACUUUCUGAAGUUUGAUAAAUGCAAAUACUUGUAUGAACAUGUAUCUUUUGGGGACACGAUUCAACCCAAAAGCUGUAGGACCCUUUAGUUAGUAAAACAUUAGCAUCACUCAUAAAAGUUUCCUCAGGCCCCUUCCCAGUUACUCUCAAUCUCCAUACCCAUAAGCCACUGCUUGUGUUUCUUUCUACCAAGGAUUGCCUUUGCCUGUUCUGUACCUAACAUAAAUUUUCUCAAAUGAACCUUCGUGCAGGACUGUGAGGUCAUGAUUGUUUAUGUAAGUGGGAAGCUGGGAGAGCACAGGGGUAAUGUGCAGGAAGUAUUUCUGGAUAUCAGGCCAUAGCAUCAGCUGCCUGUGGCGAGGGGAACUGGAACAGAAGCAUAAGUGAGAUUUGUCACCUUUAAAGCUUUUGAAUUUUGAUUUGAAAUUUCAUAUUUUAAUUUAAUACUAGUAACUACUUCAGCCAAAUAAAAGGGAAAGUAGACAGUCAAGAUAAAAGAAUGUGGAAGAUGGAUUUUAAAAUAGGCUGCAAACUGUUCUCGUAAGUUAGGAUGUUCUCAGACUUGAGCGUUGAAUUUAGCUCAUCUUUCCUGGAGUCUGGUGUCCAUCAGGAUGCUUGCUGUUUGAUAUUCCAGGUAGCCCCUUAGCCACUGCCAACAGCACCUUAACUUUUGACCCCAGUGCCUAUUUGUACUCAAAGGUUAAAAAAUACAGCCUUACAUCAAACAGCUUCAGUGGUCUCCUGGUGUUUCCUUCCUAAGCCACAUGUGGGGUUACUGACUUAGAUGAUAGAGCUGUUCAGUUUCCUAUUACCUGCUUUGCAGAAUAGAAGGAAAACACCCCUUUCUGUUAAAAGCAGUUCAGAAAUGUUUUGAAUGCCACACUUUAGGUAAUAAUAGAAAUACUUUUAAAUACCAAUUAUAUAUGCUUUAUGUUUAAAUCAUCUGUUCGUUUCAAUAUGUAUUAAUACAGUAGAAGUUUGUGAUGUUUAUGUUUAGGCAGUUGUAAAUUGCAACUAUAUUCAGUCAUUUCAUGUGUGUUCUGUGAUCAUGUGAUCUGUUUUCUAAUAACUAAAAAUACUUCAAAAGGGAAAUUUGUGUUUUUCUGGUAUUCCUUAGGUAUAAUUUCUUUUUUUUCUUCUUUUAAUAUUUUAACAGAUGGGGCCUUUCUCUGUUGUUCAGGAUGGUCUCUAACUGGUGGGCUCAAGCAGAUUUUAAUUGAAUAUAAUUCUCUUGCCUCACUCCCCACCCCCAAGUAGAUGGGACUGGUGCAUGCAUUCAAGCCCACCUCUUAGACACAAUUUUAUUAAGGAACCUAGAGAAAGCAUUUCCCUCCUGACUUGUUGCAAUUUGAUCUUUCCACAUGGUAUUAAAAAAAAAUAUUUUAGGGUGGAGGGUGUAGCUUGGUGGUAGAGUGUUUGCUCAGCCUAUGUGAGCCCCUGGAUUCAGUCCCCGGCACCCAAAAAAACCCAUUUUUUAAAAAAAAUAUAUCAAUGCAAUUAGUUUGAAAUUUCAAAUUGAUAUAUGUGAAUAGUUUAUCAAUACCUUCCCCAAAUAGUAUUUGGAUGCUAAUUCAUUUGCUGAUUGUAAGGAAUUCACAGAUUGUAGGGAUCCACAGAUCGUUAAGAAACACUUGGGUUGUUUUUUUUUAAUACUUUAUUUUUAGUUAUAGAUGGGCACAGUACCUUCAUUUUAUUUAUUUAUUUUUAUGUGUAGCCGAGGAUCAAACCUAGUGCCUCACACAUGUGAGGCAAGCACUCCACUACUGAGCUACAACCCCAUCUCUGGGUUUCUGUUUGACUUGGGUUUGUGUUUUACUUUGAUUAAAACAAAUCAGGAGGGCUAGGGUUGUGGCUCAGUGGAAGAGCGCUCGCGCCUUGUGUGAGGCACUGGGUUCGAUUCUUAGCACCACAUAUAAGUAAAAAUGAAUUUUUAAAAAAGCUCCAUCAACAUCUGAAAAUAUAUUUAAAAAAAAUCUGGAAAUGUGUUUCAUUGCAAAUUGAUUUUUCCCCCCUUUUUUGUGGUACUGGGGAAUUGAACCCAGGGGCCCUCUACUACUGAGCUACAUCCCCAGACCUUUUUAUUUUUCAUUUUGAGACAGGAUCUGGCUAAGUUGCUGAGGCUGAACUUGAAUUUGUGAUCCUCCUACCUCAGGAUCCCAAGUUGCUGGGAUUAUAGGCAUGCACCACACUGUGCCUAGCAGAAAAUUGAUUUUUGAAAAUAAAAUAAUAUUUUGUUCAGUGAAGAUAUUAGUAAUGAAAGUAUUAUUUUUGUAUUACUAACCCUGAUAACUUCCCAGCACCUCUAACUGUGCUAAAACUGUGGUGUUUUCUCUUCUAGACUUGUCUCUGUGGAAAGCUUGUCCUCCGUCCAUUGCGACCAUGCCGAAGAUACUCAACUUCUAGCAGUUCUGGGUAUGCAGUGCCUCCUUGAAACCUAGCUUUUUACUGUAUGCAACUGAGUGGUGUAUAUGUGUGUUUUCUUUGAAUAUAGGAAUCGCUACUUAAAACCUUUUAUUAAGGAACACAGUCUUUCCCCUUACCCAUGGUUUCAGUUAACUGUGGUCAACUGAGAUAACAUCUCACAUGAUUACAAGAAGGUUGAGCUCAGUAGAAUCAUACUCGGAGAGAAAGAGACCAUAUUCACACAACCUCCUUUAUAGUAUAUUGUUAGAAUUCUUCUAUUUUUUUCUUAGUUAUUGUUACCCUCUUAACUGUGCCUAGUUGAUAAGUUAAGCUUUAUCAUGGAUAUAUAUGUUUAGAAAAAAUAGCAUAUGUAAAUUCAUUACUGUCUGAAACUUCAGGUAUCUUCUGGUGGUUUUGAAAUGUGUCUCCCCUGAAUAAAGGAGACUACUGUACGUACACUGAAACUUGGUUAUAGUAUUUUUGGAAUAUCUUCUGGAGCAUUAUUUAUUGUAGAUGAAACUUUGCUAAUGCUGUUCCUUUUGGAUAGUGGUAGUUGGAAGGCAUUGAGGCAGACCCCCCACCCCACCCCGCCCUCCCAGGGUGGUCUUCCAUGCUAUAGCAGUAGGUUCCCAUCCUGAAAGCAGCAUGUUAUAACAUAGGAAAAGUUUGUUAAUUCUGUUUGAUAUUUUUUCAUCUUAUGUUUGUAAAGGGUUUACUUUAUUGUAUUUAUACAAGUGCUUAAUUAAGGAACAGGAGCUUUAAACGUUAUUAAUAGUUCUUUUUAGGGGAGCCAGAGGAAAUAAUGUGAACAUCUUGGGUUUUAAGUGUUAAAGAUAGAUCGCUUCAUUCCUUCUGUCCUAGAUAUUAUUGUUUUUUGUUACCAAUAAAUAAAUGUUAUUCUAUUGCAAACAUGUUAUAAAUAAAUCAGGAAGCUGGGUAUGGUGGCACAUGCCUGUAAUUCCAGCAACUGGGGAGGCUGAGGCAGGAUAAUCAAGUUUGAGACUAGUCUCAGUUACGUAGUGAAACUCUGUUUCAAAGUAAAAAUAAAAAGGAUUGGGGAUGUAGUUCAGUGGUAAAACAUCCUUAGGUUCUAUCCCCAGGAUUAAAAAAAAAAAAAAAAAUCAGGUAAAGGUGAUGCUUGGCUGUGAUGGUGAAUCGGGGUAGAGAAGCAGAAGUCAGAGGUCUUUGAGAUUCCUUCCCUGAGGCAAGUAGAUGCAGGAGAGCCAGGAAAUAAUAUUUGUAUGUGCUUCCAUUCCUUCCACCCAGGUUGACUGCAGGCAGGAUCGCUGGAGCGGGUCUGCUGUUUGUUGGUGGUGGUAUUGGAGGUACCAUCUUAUAUGCCAAGUGGGACUCCCACUUCCGAGAAAGUGUAGAGAAAACCAUUCCUUACUCAGACAGACUCUUUGAGAUGGUUCUUGGUUCUGCACCUUAUAACGUUCCAUUGCCAAAGAAGCCGGUAAGAGUUUUAAACAUUAUUUCAUUGUAUCCUAUGGAAUAGUUUUAUAAAGCAAGCUGUUUUUAUCUUGAAAAUAGUACACAUGUCUAAUUCAGUGCAGCUUGCCAGGUGCAUGCUAGUUCUCUUCAAACUGAGCUGGUAAUAAUCUGCACAGGUGAAUUCUAGCCUUUGGGAGUUUCACAGAUACUCUGAAUGUGUGCCACAAGGAUGAUCACUAUGCAUUCUACAUGGGUGACUGGAGGAGGUGUGCAUGGCAGAGGUAACUGGGUACAGUGUGGUUGAGGGCAGCCCGUAUCCGAGCAGCUCUCAGGCUCUUACUUGGAACACUAAAAAUAUAGUGGAGACUGGCCAUGACACCGAACCCCCUGGUGUGGGCAGCAGGGGUUCUUUUCAGACUCUAAAACAGAGUCACAGAAUUUUCAGCUAUAUGCUGGUUGGUUGACAGGAAUAUUUUCCAUGUUCUUUAGAGUUCCACUACCCCGCCCCCCACCAUGCUUAACAUUUUGGCGGGGGGUAGGGGGUAAAUUAAACUCAGGGGCACUCACCCACUGAGCCACAUCCCCAGCCCUAUUUUGUAUUUUAGUUAGAGACAGGGUCUCAUUGAGUUGCUUAGUACCUCGCUCUUGCUGAGGCUGGCUUUGAACUUUCUAUCCUCCUGCCUUAGCCUCCAGAGCUGCUAAGGAUUAUAGGUAGGCACCAUCACACCUGGUGAGGCUUAACUUUUUAAAAAAAUCAUCUUAAAUAUUUCUUCACUGAAACACAGUUUCUUCUUUAAACACACACACACACACACACACACGAGCAUGGAUUUUUGGCGUUGGUAUUAGGCAUUUUUUUAUGCAGUGAAGCUGGAUAUGGCUUAUCAGUUCUUCCUUAGGAAUUGUGUGGUCUUCUUUUCUCCAGAAUCUCACAUGGUCUUGACAAAGCCUGUAACACAGAUAAUAUUUGGAAAAACAGAUAUUCUCAAAUUUCCUCUCUACUCCCACCCCAACUCCACUUUUUCAAGUAUUCCUUGCUAGUCUUUUGCAUCAUUUAUACUUUCGUUGGAACUUUAAAAUUUCUGUGGCAGAGGGAGACAGUUGCACAGGGGCAAAGAGCAGAAUCCUGUGGAUUUGAUCUAAAAUCCUGGGUCUAUUUUAAGCUAUAGCACCCCAGAGAAAUGACUGGGAGCAGUUCUGGGGGAACACAAUUCUGGGGUCAGACUGAACAGUGGAGAGCAGUGGGAUCUGUUUGCUCAGCAGGACUUCAGGUGUCCUUCUUUGAAGAUGAGUGCCCUCUCUCUAGAUGACUGUGGGCUCCUGCCAUUCUGCUUAGGUAUCUCGCAGAGUAUUGCCACUUGGAUAGCUGGGGAUGGCUACACUGCACCACCUCAAAAUUCACAUUCCUCGUGGUUUGCUUUUUUUUGGUGGUCCUGAGGAUUAGCUCCAGGCCUUGAGUGUCACUGCACUCCACUCCCAGUCCUCUGAUUGGCUUUUUGAAUUGAAGGUAGUCCCAGGCUGUCAGGUUGCUGGUGUAGAAUUCUCUUCAUCAUUAUCCUUGUUCUCCUAAGUCUCCUAUCUUGUUUAUAUUCCUUUUCUUUUGUCACCACUGUCUUCACCCUAUUCUGGCCUUUGUCACUUUAUAUCCAGUUAUCUUCUGAGCUAGACCUGUUGCUCUCUCCACAGUCUUUCCCAUCUUCCUCCCAGUCUCCACCCCUAGAUUCUCCUUCUGAAACAAUCUAGGCCGUUCUCAUGUCAGUGCCAGAGAGCCUUGUAAAAUCAGCAUUAUCACAUUCAUGAUGCCACUUAUUAGGAGUGUUCACACAUUUUCUAUUCUUUAACCACAGACUGAAAGGUAGAGUGCCCUUAGAGGUCGUUGCACUCUGAGUAAGGAGCACGCAGCCAGCAGUGGUUGCGGGUCAGCCUAGUCCUGGCCGAUGGGGCCCUUUGUUGCUGGGUCAAUGGUCUUUGCUUGUGCGUGGGCUGCCAUGUGGUACCCCGGCAGUCUAGGUCUGAAUGGUUCUCGUGUAAACCCUCAGCUUUAUUCUAGUUGGCCUUACAAAAAGGCCUUGUAUUUUCCACACCUCUGCGUUAGUAAAGUGGCAGUUAGUUCCAGGCCCUGUUCUAAGAGCCCUGGUUACAGCAGAGAAGCAAACAGAAGUCCCUUGAAUUUGCGCCCUUUCCUGAGGGCGUCUUCCACCCAGGGGCUUCACUUCUUUGUCUCUGUCCUUCACUGCAUGGGCCUAUGUGCAUCUGCUCUUCAGCUGAAUUUUCAUGGUAUUAGUGUUUUUAUUUUUAAAACAUUUAUUCUACUAUUGUGCAUUGUUACCAACUUGUUGCUUUCAAAAACUAUGCAUUUCAUAUGCAUUUUUAUGUUAACCCUUUUAGUAACAGCAUGAUUAUUUACUAAAACAGAAUCUUUGGGUGAUGUGGAAUAGGACUUAUCUAAAUGAAUACAUGUUAUGUUCUUUGGUGAAACUUUUUUUUUAAAUAAAUACUAUUUAUUUAUUUAUUUUUAUGUGGUGCUGGGGUUGGAACCCAGGGCCUCACACCUGUGAGGCAAAUGCUCUACCACUGAGCUACAGCCCCAGCCCCUUUGGUGGAACUUAAUAUUAAAAAAUGUCAUUUCUCAUAUCUAUUUCAUUCAAAUUUUUCUUAAAUAUGAAUAUAUUUGAGAGAAGUCCUUUUAUUAUAUAUACACACAUAUAAUCACUAUCACGGCUCUAGUAAGAAUUCUAAUGGAUUUUCCUAAUUGGUAAGGAAGUAGAUGAGAUGAUUUUAGUUUGGUCCCCAGUACUACCAAAAAUAAAUAAAUAAGAAAGAAAUUUUGUUAAAGUUCAUAUGGACAAAGUAAUGACGAGCCAAGAACAUUCUGGAAAAGUGUUGAGGUAGGGAGGGUCAGAGGACACUUUUCCAAAUGUUGAUUUUGUUAUAGUGCUGCUUGAAUGAAACAGGGUUUGGCCUAGGACUAGAAAUGAGGAGUCAGACGCAGUGGCACCCAUCUCUAAUCAGCUGCUCAGGAGGCUGAGGCCAUAGGAUUGCAAGUUUGAGGUCAGCCUGAGCCACUUAGAAAGACCUUGUCUCAAAAUAUAAAAUAAAGGGCUGGGGCUGUAGCUCAGGGGUAGCACCUGCCUUGCACAUGUGAGGUACUGGGUUUGAUCCUCCACACCACCUAGAAAUAAAUAAAUAAAGAUGUUGUAUCCGUCUACAACUAAAAAAAAUAUUUUAAAAAAUAGAAAUAAAAAAUAAAAAUGUUGGAAUGUAGGUCAGUGGUAGAGCACCCCUGGGUUCCAUACCAGUGCAGGGGGGUGGGGAGAAGAGUAACAGCUGGACUGUGGUAGAGAAGCAGUGCAUGAGGCCUGGGGUUGGAUCCCCAGCACCACAAGGUAGUCAGUCAGUCAGUCAGUCAGUCAAACAAGCCCUCAGCAGUGGCUGCUCUUCAGGUAUGUGGACAAGGACUUUCAUUGCUGUGAUGUUUGUAGAGCCAAAACAAAACAGGAAAUAAUUGAAUGUCUGUAAGUAAACUAGUUGACUAAAUUGGGGAUACCCUUACUUGAGGAUAGUACGCAACCAAACAUUUCUUGACUUGGAAGAGAAUGUUCGUUAUAUAUUGUUGAGUGGAAAAAAAAUCAGAUUACAUAUUAUACACACACAUAAUUUUGCUUUGUUACUUGGCAAAUAUGGCAUUUGCUUAAUAUUGUUUUCAUAGAGUUGUUGAUGCAUUUAGAAAGCUAAAUUUAAAAUUUGACAAAGUCAUAAAAAUUAAAACAUUUAAACCUACAGUUGCCUAAAUUCAGAAUUUUAACUACUAUCUGUGAUUAUGCAAUGCAUACUUUUGGCCCAGAGUCUGUUGCUGAAUUUCUGAAACUUUAACCCAGUGCCCUUUGAGACUUUUUUUUUUCAAAACAUUAUUUUCUUAUAAUAAAAAUAAUACCUAACAAAAAGCUGGAAAAUACAGAAAAUCUGCAAGAAAUAUGAUUACCUGUGAUUUUGCUCUGCAGUGCAUAUUGUGUUGUUUCUGCUACUCUUUAUUUUUCUAAACAUAAAGUUUUAUCAACAUUUUUUUACUUAUUUAAACAUAAUGUUUUUUCAAAAUUUAGCAUUAUAUCACAACUUGUUUUCAAUCUUGCCAUUUGUUCUCACGAACUAUUUUUGAAUGGUGACAAAAUGUUUAAUUUUCUUACAUUUUAACUGGCACAGGUUGCAUUCAGUAGCACAUCAUUUAAAAAAUAUUAUUAUAAAAUAUAGUUAACAUUUAUAUUAAAAAAUGAUUAUCAUUUCCAUUUUUAAAAAGCUACAGUGGGAGCUGGGCAUGGUCGCACAGGCCUGUAAUCCCAGCAGCAUAGGAGGCUGAGGCAGGAGGAUCGCGAGUUCAAAGCCAGCCUCAGCAAAAACUAGUUACUAAGCAACUCAGUGAGACCCUGUCUCUAAAUAAAAUACAAAAUAGGGCUGGGGAUGUGGGUCAGUGGUUGUGUCCCUGAGUUCAAUCCCUGGUACAAAAAAAAAAAAAAAAAACCCUACCGUGGAACUUCGUGGAACUUCUGUAUCUAAUCAAGAUGGAACAAAGGGAACUGAUUUAACUUUGCUGCUUGAAAAAUCUAUCAAACUGGACAAAAUACAAAUAAACUAAUUACAACAUGUAAAACGCUUUUUUUUUUGGUGGGGGUACAUCUACAGCCCUUUAAUAAGUUUUAUUUAGAGACAGGGUCUUGCUAAGUUGCUUGGGGCCUUGCUAAAUUGCCGAGGCUGGCUUUGAACUCUUGAUCCUCCUGCCUUAGCCUCCCGAGCUGCUGGGAUCACAGGCAUGACCACUGCACCCGGCAUAAAGCACUUUCGUGUUUUGUGUAAAACAUGUUUUCAGACUCUGUCCACCAAUAGAAUAGUUGUGCUAGAGGGGAAUUGGAGGUGAUCCCUAGGACUGCCUGCUCUUGGUGCCUGCUGGGUUUUUCCAGACUGUAGCAUAGGAGGAUAAUCCCAAGCAAAACCUGGGAGUCUACAGGGUGGAGCAGGUGGAGCUGUGUCUAGGGAGGUCAGGGUGACUGCAGCUUAGAGGGUGGAACACUAGAGAGAACUGCCAGAAAAGAGGCCCAUGGAGAGAAGCCAUCUCUGGAGAGGGAAGGAAUUGCCAUAGGACUCUCCAGGUCCUGAUGGCUUCACAGUGAUGUCAGCCAGACUGGUUUUGGAGGUUCCAGUCCAUGACCAGUUGGAUGUGUUGCUUCUGAGCCUGAGGUGAAGGAGUGUGUGACGGCAAAGUGGCUCACCUUAUGGCAGGGACGUGGGGGAGGGAAGAGGACCAGCUGGCGAGGCACGGAACAACCAUUCGUUGACAUUAGUUUGCCUGUUACAGUUAGUGCGUGUUUCCUGAUUUCAAAAAUAACUUUUUUCUUUGCAAUGCUGGGGAAAAAUAACAUUUUAAUAAAAAAGAAAAUGGUUAUAUUUCUAGUUGAGAAAAUGGACAUAUUUCUAGUGGUAUAUUUCAGAACCCCUUCUUUUCAGCAGUCAUCUUAGGGAUUCACAAGACCCACUGCCAAGUCCUGGGAAAAAGUAGGAACAGCAUAGGUGGUCAGCGUAAGCAUUCCUCACUCAACAGUGUUCUCCAGCAAGUCACCUGCAGUCCUCUUGAUGAAUAGUGCCUUACGCUGAAGGUGGGUGGUAACUGGGAAAGAGGAGAGCAGGUCUUGCUUGCAAAUCAGUCAUAUAACUUAGUGUGUAGUCACAGGAAUCCUGGAGAACAAAGAAACAGCUGGCUUUCAUUUUGACUCCAUGCCUCUAACCAGUCAUCUACUUCUGAGCCUUGUGCCGAAGACACCGUGAUGUGAUUCAGGAAGGAGUGGAAAUACCUUGAUGUCGUGCUUGUGAAAAUAGUGGCAUGUGGAAGGGAGGCCAAGCGGACCCCUCAGCUGUCUGAAAAGAAGCCUUUGGUGCUGCUGAAAUGUGGGCGAGGGAUGAUGACUUCUCUCAGUUUGGUUAAUAAAACAUAAGUUGCAAAUGUUGAUAACUUUAUUUUAAAAGCCUGAAAGAUUUGACUUUAAAUAUUACUCUAUGCUACCAAUUUUAAAAACAGGAUUACAUCUUAAAUGUUUAAUGUUUUCAUUUCCAAGAUUCAAUCCGGUCCACUAAAAAUCUCUAGUGUGUCAGAGGUAAUGAAAGAAUCCAAACAGCCUGCGUCACAGCUCCAAAAGCAGAAGGGAGACACUCCAGCCUCGACAACAGGUACUCGUGUUAGAACCAUUCCUCUGAGACCAUAGGCCAUGAGUCAUUUCAGUGCAUUUAGACCCAGAG
rnacentral:lncRNA from 1 species